rnacentral:rRNA from 1 species
GCCUGUAAGACUGGGAUAACUCCGGGAAACCGGAGCUAAUACCGGAUAGUUCCUUGAACCGCAUGGUUCAAGGAUGAAAGACGGUUUCGGCUGUCACUUACAGAUGGACCCGCGGCGCAUUAGCUAGUUGGUGGGGUAAUGGCUCACCAAGGCGACGAUGCGUAGCCGACCUGAGAGGGUGAUCGGCCACACUGGGACUGAGACACGGCCCAGACUCCUACGGGAGGCAGCAGUAGGGAAUCUUCCGCAAUGGACGAAAGUCUGACGGAGCAACGCCGCGUGAGUGAUGAAGGUUUUCGGAUCGUAAAGCUCUGUUGUUAGGGAAGAACAAGUGCGAGAGUAACUGCUCGCACCUUGACGGUACCUAACCAGAAAGCCACGGCUAACUACGUGCCAGCAGCCGCGGUAAUACGUAGGUGGCAAGCGUUGUCCGGAAUUAUUGGGCGUAAAGGGCUCGCAGGCGGUUUCUUAAGUCUGAUGUGAAAGCCCCCGGCUCAACCGGGGAGGGUCAUUGGAAACUGGGAAACUUGAGUGCAGAAGAGGAGAGUGGAAUUCCACGUGUAGCGGUGAAAUGCGUAGAGAUGUGGAGGAACACCAGUGGCGAAGGCGACUCUCUGGUCUGUAACUGACGCUGAGGAGCGAAAGCGUGGGGAGCGAACAGGAUUAGAUACCCUGGUAGUCCACGCCGUAAACGAUGAGUGCUAAGUGUUAGGGGGUUUCCGCCCCUUAGUGCUGCAGCUAACGCAUUAAGCACUCCGCCUGGGGAGUACGGUCGCAAGACUGAAACUCAAAGGAAUUGA